UUUCCGUAGGUGAACCUGCGGAAGGAUCAUUAAUGAAUUGAACUGGGUUGUAGCUGGCCUUUCGAGGCAUGUGCACGCCCUUUCCAAUCCAACAUACACCUGUGCACCUUUGGGGGAAGAUAUUGAUCUAAGUUGGAUAACGACGGCGAUCUUUGUCUUCUCUUUUUUACACCAAACUACAGUCAUAGAACGUCUUUUGCUUGAUGCAAACAAAUACAACUUUCAACAACGGAUCUCUUGGCUCUCGCAUCGAUGAAGAACGCAGC
rnacentral:misc_RNA from 1 species